ACGCAAUCGAAGAGAUUGAGUAGCGUACGGGUGAGUAAAGUAAAAGUAGAAAAAAGUGAUAGUAAGGAGAAAAAUACCUUAUAAUAGUAAAGAUUAAAUCGCUAUGGACAGGGAGCUUUUAUAGUAUUAGGUAGUUGUAGAGUUAAAAGCUCUCCAAGCCAAUGAUGCUUAGCUGAAUUGAGAGAUUGAUCAGUCACACUGGGAUUGAAAGAAGGCCCAGACUCCCACGGGAGGCAGCAGUAGAGAAUAUUGGACAAUGAGCGAAAGCUUGAUCCAGCAAUAUCGUAUGAGUGAAGAAGAGAAAAUUGUAAAACUAGAAAGUCAAAGAGAAUGAUGAUGUUAAUUGACAGUUAAGUCCUGGCUAAUUUCGUGCCAGCAGCCGCGGUAAAACGGGGAGGACAAGUGUUACUCGUCAUGAUUGGGCGUAAAGAGUACGUAGGCGGAUUAAUAAGUUAUUUAAAAAAAGAUUAGAGAAAAUCGAUAAGGAAUAAAUAAAACUGUUAACGAGAGUGGACUAUGAGAAUAGUGAAUCUAGAGUAUAGAAGAGGAAGAUGGAACUACUGAAGGAGAGGUGGAAUUUUGAGAGAUCAGUAGGACGACCGAGAGCGAAGGCAAUUUUCUGGGCUAUACUGACGUUGAGGUACGAAGGUAUGAGUAGCAAGCAGGAUUAGAUACCCUGUUAGUUCAUACAGUAAACGAUGAAUGUUAUAUUUUGGGAAGAGAAAUUCUCAUUUUAUCAGCUAACGCGUUAAACAUUCCGCCUGGGGACUACGAUCGCAAGGUUGAAACUCAAAGGAAUUGACGGAGGCUUAUACAAGCGGUGGAACAUGUGGUUUAAUUCGAGACAACGCGAAAAAUCUUACCAGUUAUUGUAUAUAGAAUAAAUUUUAUUGAAAAAGGAUAGAAAGAGCGACUUCGUAAAGAAA
rnacentral:rRNA from 1 species